UCUCCGUUGGCGAACCAGCGGAGGGAUCAUCACCGAGUUUACAACUCCCAAACCCCAUGUGAACCUUACCAAACGUUGCUUCGGCGGGAUGCCCCGGGCGCGGGCCGCAAGGCCUCAGCCCCGGAACCAGGCGCCCGCCGGAGGCCCAAACCAAACUCUUGUUUUUGUAGAAUCUUCUGAGUGGCCUUUUAGGCAAAAAAUGAAUCAAAACUUUCAACAACGGAUCUCUUGGUUCUG
rnacentral:misc_RNA from 1 species